rnacentral:lncRNA from 1 species
GCGCAUGGUUCUCUCACAAUAGAUAUUAAUUAUUAUCAGCUGCUCCAGUUGUGCAGGAGGCUAUCUCUACCCUUGUUCUGCCUUUGAUUUGGUGACUGGAGCAAAUGGUUUUCUCUUUUUGCCUAAGCUAGUGUUUGGUCUCAUUACUUGCAACCUAAGUCCGGAGGAAUGUGGGAUUUCCCUAAAUUCGUCAAUUUCAUGAGUGGCUCUAUGAAAAAAAAAAAUGUCCAUAGUCAGAAAUCCAGAUAAGAAAACUGAAGAAUUUGCUGAGCCUCAAGUUGAACCCAGAGCUGUUUAAUCUAAAAUGGAUGCUCUUUGACAGUUCUGCACCCAUGUACAUACACACACCACAAUUACCAUUAAUCAUUUGAAAGGUAAGUGCUAGACACACUGAUUUUGAGUUUGCCUUUCCAUUGCAAGUGUUAUUUCCCCAGACA